CCCUAAGAUUAUAAAUAAGGAUGUUGCAGGCAGCCGAAAAUUAUCUUCACAUUACGCACUUUUCCUUUCAAACAUUAUGUGUGAACCUUCAAUGUGAGGCUAAAAGUCCUAGGUUGAUUCACUCAUUACAUAUUGUUUAUUGAGAUAAUGAGGUUCAGUUUUUCAAUGUUAUUCAUUUUCAGUUUCAAUGUUGCUAGCACCAAAAACUCUAUGAGCAAUGGUAAACUUGGCAGGAUCAGUAUA
rnacentral:lncRNA from 1 species